rnacentral:rRNA from 1 species
UGAGUUUCGGAACUGGCAACAGAUUCUGAUUCUUAAAAAGUUGGACAAACUUGGUCAUUUAGAGGAAGUAAAAGUCGUAACAAGGUUUCCGUAGGUGAACCUGCGGAAGGAUCAUUAUAAAUAUUAAGCUUGCCUUGGCUUUUAUAAGUCCUGGCUUGCGAAUCCUUUGUAUUUAAAACCCCUACUCUUUUAAUAUGAAUCAUAUUUUUAUGUUAAAAAUAAUAUAAAGAUCACUUUCAACAACGGAUCUCUUGGCUCUCGCAUCGAUGAAGAACGUAGCUAAGUGCGAUAAGUAAUGUGAGUUGCAGAAUUCCGUGAAUCAUCGAAUCUUUGAACGCAAAUUGCACUUCCUGGUACUCCGGGAAGUAUGCCUGUUUGAGGGUCAGUAUAAUAACAAUCGAGAGUGUUGCUUUUUUUUUUAUUUGGUUUCACUUUCGGAAUUGAGUUAUCUUAACCCCAUGGGUUUAAGUGACUUAAAAUUAAAAUUUCAUACGUAUUUUAGGCGUGAUUAGAAUUUUCUAUGCGUCUCGGAAUACUGGGAUGUUUUUAUUAGGCAUGACCAUCGUCAUCAUAAUGGUAAACGUGCCUAUAAUUUAUUUUUUGAAAGUGACCUCACAUCAGGUAAGAAUACCCGCUGAACUUAGGCAUAUCAAUAAGCGGAGGACAAGAAAAUAACAAUGAUUCCUUUAGUAACUGCGAGUGAAGAGGGAAAAGCUCAAAUUUAAAAUCUGUUAGGUUUACCUAACCGAGUUGUAAUUUGAAGAAGCGUUUUCGGUGUUUAUUGGUUGGCCUAAAUCCCUUGGAAUGGGGUAUCAUGGAGGGUGAGAAUCCCGUACGGCUAAUCAUUACGCUUUACGAUACGCUUUCUAAGAGUCAAGUUGUUUGGGAUUGCAGCUUAAAAUGGGAGGUAAAUUUCUCCUAAGGCUAAAUAUUGGCGAGAGACCGAUAGCGAACAAGUACCGUGAGGGAAAGA